UAUACCGUGAAACUGCGAAUGGCUCAUUAAAUCAGUUAUCGUUUAUUUGAUAAUACCUUACUACUUGGAUAACCGUGGUAAUUCUAGAGCUAAUACAUGCUGAAAAUCCCGACUUCGGAAGGGAUGUGUUUAUUAGAUAAAAAACCAAUGCCCUUCGGGGCUCUUUGGUGAUUCAUGAUAACUUUACGGAUCGCAUAGCCUUGCGCUGGCGACGGUUCAUUCAAAUUUCUGCCCUAUCAACUUUCGAUGGUAAGGUAUUGGCUUACCAUGGUUUCAACGGGUAACGGGGAAUUAGGGUUCGAUUCCGGAGAGGGAGCCUGAGAAACGGCUACCACAUCCAAGGAAGGCAGCAGGCGCGCAAAUUACCCAAUCCCGACACGGGGAGGUAGUGACAAUAAAUACUGAUACAGGGCUCUUUUGGGUCUUGUAAUUGGAAUGAGUACAAUUUAAACCUCUUAACGAGGAACAAUUGGAGGGCAAGUCUGGUGCCAGCAGCCGCGGUAAUUCCAGCUCCAAUAGCGUAUAUUAAAGUUGUUGCAGUUAAAAAGCUCGUAGUUGAAACUUGGGCCUGGCUGGCGGGUCCGCCUCACCGCGUGCACUCGUCCGGCCGGGCCUUCCUUCUGAAGAACCUCAUGCCCUUCACUGGGCGUGCUGGGGAAUCAGGACUUUUACUUUGAAAAAAUUAGAGUGUUCAAAGCAGGCCUUUGCUCGAAUACGUUAGCAUGGAAUAAUAAAAUAGGGCGUGCGUUUCUAUUUUGUUGGUUUCUAGAGACGCCGCAAUGAUUAACAGGAACAGUCGGGGGCAUCAGUAUUCAGUUGUCAGAGGUGAAAUUCUUGGAUUUACUGAAGACUAACUACUGCGAAAGCAUUUGCCAAGGAUGUUUUCAUUAAUCAGUGAACGAAAGUUAGGGGAUCGAAGACGAUCAGAUACCGUCGUAGUCUUAACCGUAAACUAUGCCGACUAGGGAUCGGGCGAUGUUCUUUUUCUGACUCGCUCGGCACCUUACGAGAAAUCAAAGU
rnacentral:rRNA from 9 species